rnacentral:rRNA from 1 species
GAUGAACGCUGGCGGCGUGCCUAAUACAUGCAAGUCGAGCGAAUGGAUUAAGAGCUUGCUCUUAUGAAGUUAGCGGCGGACGGGUGAGUAACACGUGGGUAACCUGCCCAUAAGACUGGGAUAACUCCGGGAAACCGGGGCUAAUACCGGAUAACAUUUUGAACCGCAUGGUUCGAAAUUGAAAGGCGGCUUCGGCUGUCACUUAUGGAUGGACCCGCGUCGCAUUAGCUGGUUGGUGAGGUAACGGCUCACCAAGGCAACGGUGCGUAGCCUAACUGAGAUGGUGAGCGGCCACACUGGGACUGGGACACGGCCAAGACUCCUACGGGAGGCAGCAGUAGGGAAUCUUCCGCAAUGGACGAAAGUCUGACUGAGCAACGCCGCGUGAGUGAUGAAGGCUUUCGGGUCGUAAAACUCUGUUGUUAGGGAAGAACAAGUGCUAGUUGAAUAAGCUGGCACCUUGACGGUACCUAACCAGAAAGCCACGGCUAACUACGUGCCAGCCGCCGCCGUAA